rnacentral:rRNA from 1 species
AACGAACGCUGGCGGCAUGCCUAACACAUGCAAGUCGAACGAGAUCUUCGGGUCUAGUGGCGCACGGGUGCGUAACGCGUGGGAAUCUGCCCUUUGGUUCGGAAUAACAGUUGGAAACGACUGCUAAUACCGGAUGAUGACGAAAGUCCAAAGAUUUAUCGCCAGAGGAUGAGCCCGCGUAGGAUUAGCUAGGUGGUGUGGUAAAGGCGCACCAAGGCGACGAUCCUUAGCUGGUCUGAGAGGAUGAUCAGCCACACUGGGACUGAGACACGGCCCAGCCUCCUACGGGAGGAAGCAGUGAGGAAUAUUGGACAGUGGGCGAAAGCCUGAUCCAGCAAUGCCGCGUGAGUGAUGAAGGCCUUAGGGUUGUAAAGCUCUUUUACCCGGGAUGAUAAUGACAGUACCGGAAGAAUAAGCUCCGGCUAACUCCGUGCCAGCCGCCGCCGUAA